UAUAUAACUUCUUAGUAUUUUUAUCAUUGUAAUGUGUAUAUGUAACUCCAUUAUGGGGAAUAUGGUCAUGAUGUUUAUCAACAUUUUACGGCCGUGAGUCCUAUUUUGCUUAUCAGCUCAUGGUAUUGAUCCUUAUAACCUAAAAUGCUGUAUUACAGAAAGACAUUUUAUUUAGGAAUUUUUAAGUAUAUAUACUUUUGAAAAAUACAAAUAUGAUUUCAAUAACAAUGAAACAAAAAGCAUUGUUUAAUCUCAUAUUCAAAUCUGAUAUAAUGUGUUCAUUGCUGGGUGCCUCCUCUCUAGAGGAAGUUUUUAUUUAACAAUUGAUUGCAUCAUGAGAACUGGUAUAUGAGAUUACAAGUGUGGCAUUUAAUAACACAUUUCUAUUUUCUUUGAACCCAACAACUAGUUUUCCAACUCCUGGGCUCAAGUGAUCGAUCCUCUUCCCUUGGCCUCCCG
rnacentral:lncRNA from 1 species